rnacentral:lncRNA from 1 species
GAAGAAAUUUUCCGACAGGAGAGCUGUGUCAGGAAUGUCCGCGCCGCCUGUCCAGGCCGGCUGCGUUUGCUCUGCUUGGGUGAUCUGCGAACCGGGGGGACACUUCUUUCAGGGAUCCUCGAGUGAAAAUAUGUGCGGCUUGGAAAGUACUCAGGAUUCUGGAAUUGGCAAGGAUGAAGCACUCUGCAUUUAUAAAUAGCCUCCUGCUUUUUGGGAUUUCAAUGACUGUUAUGAUUGUUCUCCCUCAUUUAUAAAUUAUUGCUGGGAAAGGCACAUUCUCAAAUA